CCGGGGUGGGACCUUGCCUGGGGGACCUCCUACCCAUCCAGGCUGGGGGCCAAGUACCAGCAGAAGGAGCGAAGCAAAGGCUGUGGGCAGGAAAGACUGGGAAACAGAAGAGAGCACGGGCCUGGGCUUGUAGACCCAGGCACUGCAGAGCAGGCCAUGCCCUCCCUGCCGGCCUCGUGCCUCCUGGCCCAGGCGGCCCUGGCCUGAGUCGACGCCAAGAUGAAGCAGGUUCCUGCCCUAACUGACCCUGACCUGACUAGACGCUACUUGGCAGGGCUCAGCCAGCUGCUGACACUGGAGGUGGAAGGGAACCAGCUGCAUGAUGGAAACAUCUCCCCCCUGGCCUUCCAGCCCCUCCACAGGCUUCUCUACCUGAGGCUGGACCGGAAUCGGCUUUGGGCCAUCCCUCCUGGCCUGCCAGCCUCCCUGCAGGAGCUGCACUUGGGCGCCAACCUCAUCGAGGAGGAGACUGAGUGAGCACUGAGUGGCUGCCACAGCCUCAGCGUGCUGGUCCUCAGCAACAACUGGCUCCAGGAGGGCCGCCUGGUGCCCGGGGCUUGGACUGAUCCGCCCCUCCACCCUGUUCGUGUGUCUCUGGCUUCUCUGGCUCCUAAAAGGACACCUGUCGCUGGGUUUAGGGGGGCAAAGGAAAGCUGACAGCAGCUGGGAGGGGCUGCCCGCCACCACAGGCCUGGCUGCCAGUCAAGCUCUGUCCCUCACUCGCCGCUGGCCUGGCCAGUGCCUGGGCUGCUGAAGACUUUUCUCCUCCUGAAGGGCUGGCCUUGUCCCCAGGGGCUGGGGGAUGUCACUGUCACUGAAAAGAGCCACUUUCCUGGCUCUGACCCAUUCUGCUCUUGGAGACCUGCAGGGACGGGGGCUUUCUUGCCGCUGUGGUGCACAGUGGAGUGACCCAGGGCUCACAGCGGCCUCAGAGAAAGUGGCGACCUGAACUUCACCAUCAGCCUCUCAGCAUCCCUGUGCACC
ensembl:lncRNA